rnacentral:rRNA from 2 species
UGGGGAAUAUUGGGCAAUGGGGGAAACCCUGACCCAGCAACGCCGCGUGAGGGAAGAAGGUCUUCGGAUUGUAAACCUCUGUCCUUGGGGACGAAGAAAGUGACGGUACCCAAGGAGGAAGCUCCGGCUAACUACGUGCCAGCAGCCGCGGUAAUACGUAGGGAGCAAGCGUUGUCCGGAAUCACUGGGCGUAAAGGGUGCGUAGGCGGUUAAUUAAGUCAGAUGUGAAAUCCCCGGGCUUAACCUGGGGGCUGCAUCUGAUACUGGUUGACUUGAGUGCAGGAGAGGAAAGCGGAAUUCCUAGUGUAGCGGUGAAAUGCAUAGAUAUUAGGAGGAACACCAGUGGCGAAGGCGGCUUUCUGGACUGCAACUGACGCUGAGGCACGAAAGCGUGGGGAGCAAACAGG